AUUUAGCCCUGACAGCAGCGACAUCCUUUUGUCCCAAUUCUUUUUGGGGCAAAAGAUACAGUGUAUGGCAGGAGAUAAG
rnacentral:sRNA from 1 species